UAAAAAUUAAAAUUAUUAUUUUUUCUUACCUGCACUGAUGAUAGUCAUUGUUUGGAUGUGAGGCUUAUCCAUUUCCACAGUCACACAAUCAGUAGCUGAACUGGGUUCCACACAGUCACAAAAACAAAUUAACCAAAAAAGCCUCAAAAACAAAAAUGCAAAAUAAAUAGCAAAAACAAAAGCGCCAAACUUAAUCUGUACUUAAUCUGUUCCAGAAGUUCGAAAACUAAGGCACAGCUUCUGAUUGGUGCAGGCACCCCGGAUACAAUAGCCAACAGCUGCACCAGACAUUCGGCUUCUGAAAAAUACUUAUUUCCGGGUCUUCGGUGUUUGAGAACCAAUGUGUUUGAGUACCAAGGCAUUUGAGAACCAAGGUACCACUAUAAUCGUAAAAAUAAUGCAACUGCUUUAGCCUAGUGUAUGCUUAUCAGAGGGGCAGAGCAAUUCUAACCUCUGUCAAAGUCCAGUUGAGGGAAGUUACCACAUAUAAAGAGGCUACCGU